rnacentral:lncRNA from 1 species
GUGCCAGGCUUGCUGGUGGUCAGGAACAGAUGAUUCCAGCCCUGUGCUGAUCGCCUGCCUUCCUCCUGCCAUUCAGAAUGCUGCUGUCUCGUGUACUUACUGUUAAGGAUCCUGGAAAAGGGAGUGGUUCCUCCUAGCUGCAAACAAGGGCGCUACUUUUCUUUUCUCUUUAAUAGAAUUACGUUUUAUAGGUGUGUCUAGGCAACACAAGGGAAUGUGAAAGACUUUCAGAGGGAAUGUUUGUGAAUACAUCUGGUGUGUACUAAAAAGCUGGAAAACCCCUAAGUAAAUGCAAUAUCGAUAGAAAGCGAGUUUCUUGAAGAGUCAUCUGCUAAACUCCACUAGAGUCAUCUCUACAGAUGCAACUGACUCACUUAAAAUAGCUGUGUGGAUAUAGAACUUUUAUCAACUACUAUUUACUAAAUUAUAUUGGUGUGUUUGUCCUCAUCUUAGAAUAGCAUAUCAAUAGAUGCUAUAAAAACAUAAGAGGGUGUGGUUAAGAGAAAAAAAAAUUGCCAUUAAGGAAUCAGCAAAUAGGAUGUCUGAAGUGAGGAUAUAGCACCUAUCUCUGAGAUUAAAGUCAUCUGAUCAAAAAUGAUGCCUCUGAGACUAUAACAAAGGAAUGAAUAAUGAAAUAUAAGAAUGGGGAUUCUGCACUAACUCUAUGGGGAAGAAAACAAUGUCUCUGUUCAUCAUGAGAAAUGCUCAGCGACUGCAGACAUAAAGAGAAAGCUUUCAAUUAAAGUUUCAAUGAUGGGAUAGGAACUGAGAAGUCUGUGGAGUUUUCUGCCUAGGAGUACCCUUGGAAAAGCCACUGCUAUGCCCAACCAGCACUGGGAAUCCCAGAUCACAUGCAAUCAUAGGAGUUGCCCUGGAGGCAGAAGCUCAGCACAUGUUCUGGUACAAGGAGAUUACAGUGUUGUGCAAAGCAAAGGGAUGAAUGAUGCCCAACUCUCUAACAUGGGCCUCGGUUUCCACAUCGAGGUUGGAAAUGAGCUAGGAAGCAGAUCCACCAUAAAUGGAGAAAGAAGAGAAACAAGUUGAGCUUUUAAUGACCCCGUAGCCUGACUCUUUGGUAUGGAAAUGGAAAGAGAUCCUCAUGGAAACAUAAAUAAAAUAUAUCACAUGUAACUUAUACCAAUAAUUAUUUUCUCCCCCAGUACCUCAAUUUUGCCCAGAUUGGACUCUAUUUUAUUUCCUUAUUUUUCCACAGUAAUUUACUUAAGUAAAACCAGGAUUUAUUUUAUUCAUCUCCAUGUCAGUUGCUAAGUCCAAGGGAUGUAUAUAGUUUAAAAAAUAUCACAAAGGAUGAUAUGGUGAAAUUGAACAACACAUUAUUACCUGAUGUACAGUCAUUGAUUUUGUAUACUAGCCUUUACCCCUGGCUACUGAUAAUUUUGGAUUUUGAAGAUUCAAAGACAGAGACUUGUAAAUACUUUAGUUUUUACACUUCUUUAUCAUACUCAUACCUGGGAUGGAAAAGUAUCAUUUAAUAUAUUAAGAACAUUGUUAUAGUACAUGUAUUUAAAUAACUCACAAGAGCAAGUAAUCUUACCUCAUGUCAUCUAUUUUUGAAAAAAUAUUUUGUGUAUUUCCACAUGCUUCUUCCAGAUGACCUUUAGCAAAACUUUGUGAAGUUUCAUUGUGGCUGUUGUCUUAGAAAGAUGGUCUUGUUAAUAAGGUCAGUGUUUUAGCCUUGCAAUAUAAGAUUAUGUGCAUUUGUUUAGAGGGAGACUUUAGGAUACAGCGAAGUGUUUUACAAAUGUUUACCAUUUUUAUUCUUAUUAGAUUUUUGAAAGUAUUUGGUUUAAAAUUUUCUUCUUUUUAUUCAACCAGCUCUUUAAAUUACCCAUCAAUUCUUGUUAAGAGUGUGUAUUGUAUAUCUCUCUAUACAUUUCAUGUAUUUUUGUAUGAAUUGUGCUAUUUUUAUAAUUUUUCUAUUUAGCCUCUGUAUCCAAUAUGAUUCAAUGUAUACAUGGAUGCCAUACGUAGGUACUGAUUAUUUCCUCUUUUAUUAUUAAUAA